UGUGUAGUUGUAAAAACAAUUGACGUCAAUGUGUUGGCGUGCACUGUUUUCCGUACAAUGUAGGUACUCCUGACUGCUGAAUAUCUUGUUUAUUACAUCUAUUCACAAGAACAUGUCUUUUGAAAUUCGAUUUAAAAAUAAAAAUACUAGAAAAAGGUCAGUUACCAAAAGAAAGUACAUUUGUAGAUGGUCAAGAAUGAUGGCUCAAAGGUCACGAAUGAUGGUUCAAAAGUACAAAGUAGCUAGUUUUUUUUCAUGUUGUUUUUUGUCCGAAAGACUUUUAGUUAAAAAAAAUCCUUGAAGACUGGUUCGCUGGAGGUUAAACAUUGGUGUGUUCUAACUUACCUGAGCUAUUCUGAACAAACUUUAUUCAUUGUCAGAUGUCUGUUUGUAAUUUGUUACCUUAUUGUCUAGCCAGAAACUACCAAAUGCGGUCCUGUCAAUCAUAGGAAAUUGUUACGAUAUGUAGAGGAUAAUUACAUUUAAAUGUUUAACAAUUUGUAUCUGAAGUGAUUGAAUUGUAACAUUUGAUAAUUUAUUUGAAACGUAAAGUAAUUAGAUCCACCACUUUAUUUGUUUGCUCGUUGUCAUGGGCCAUGCAUAGCGUCUGGCAGACGAGGAGGACUCGACACAAGAUGCGGCCAUAGCAGAUCGACACGGGACUGUCUGAAGAAAAACUUGUGCGUAAUCAGAUAAAUCUGAUGAUGGCGGGGACGUUCGUGCGAUGUGUGCGUGUCGGUUUCGAGACGAGGGUUUCGGGAUUCGAACAUGUGUUUGGAGUCGGUGAUUAAACUGGGAUUUCGCUGUGAGGCUCUUGCAAGAGGAAGGGAUAAACAGCACAAAUGGCGGACAUAAGGAAUGAACUAUCCUUCAAGCCUGCUAAGGCAAACAGAACAAAAUGGGAUGAACAUAAAAUUACUGGCAGUAUCAACGAUGUCGAGGAAUUGGCCUGUAACAGAACUAUGCCGAUGUUUCAAAUAAACACCCUGAAGGUCAAUCAUCCUGUGUCCUUCUUCCCCAUCUCCAUUGCAUCUUGUGAGAGGGAAUUCUCCACCAUGAAAAGAAGAAUAUGGACCUCACCAUUAAUUUAAGCAUGAUCCAUAAAGCCAUUGCCUAACUCUGUUUCAGAUAAUCAUAGUUUCUGUUCUAAAACUUCUUGAAAUUAAAUAAAGAUAUUGAAUCAUUUU